rnacentral:rRNA from 1 species
GCGCGAAAACUUUACAAUGUCGGCAACGGCGAUAAGGGGACCUCGAGUGCCAGGUUACAAAUCUGGCUGUCGUGAUGCCUAAAAAGCAUUUCAUAGCAAGGGCCGGGCAAGACCGGUGCCAGCCG